GACGAACGCUGGCGGCGUGCUUAACACAUGCAAGUCGAACGGAAAGGCCCUGCUUUUGUGGGGUGCUCGAGUGGCGAACGAGUGAGUAACACGUGAGUAACCUGCCCUUGACUUUGGGAUAACUUCAGGAAACUGGGGCUAAUACCGGAUAGGAGCUCCUGCUGCAUGGUGGGGGUUGGAAAGUUUCGGCGGUUGGGGAUGGACUCGCGGCUUAUCAGCUUGUUGGUGGGGUAGUGGCUUACCAAGGCUUUGACGGGUAGCCGGCCUGAGAGGGUGACCGGCCACAUUGGGACUGAGAUACGGCCCAGACUCCUACGGGAGGCAGCAGUGGGGAAUAUUGCACAAUGGGCGGAAGCCUGAUGCUGCAACGCCGCGUGCGGGAUGACGGCCUUCGGGUUGUAAACCGCUUUCGCCUGUGACGAAGCGUGAGUGACGGUAAUGGGUAAAGAAGCACCGGCUAACUACGUG
rnacentral:rRNA from 1 species